UACGAAGGGGGCUAGCGUUGUUCGGAAUUACUGGGCGUAAAGCGAACGUAGGCGGUGUUCCAUGUCAGAGGUGAAAGCCUGGGGCUCAACUCCAGAAUUGCCUUUGAAACGGGAACGCUUGAGUCCGAGAGAGGAUGGCGGAAUUCCUAGUGUAGAGGUGAAAUUCGUAGAUAUUAGGAAGAACACCGGUGGCGAAGGCGGCCAUCUGGCUCGGUACUGACGCUCAGGUUCGAAAGCGUGGGGAGCAAACAGGG
rnacentral:rRNA from 1 species